UACGGAGGGUGCAAGCAUUGAUCGGAAUGACUGGGCGUAAAGGGCGCGUAGGCGGUAGGGCAAGUCAGAUGUGAAAUUCCAUGGCUCAACCAUGGAGCGGCAUCUGAAACUACCCUGCUCGAGCAUAGCUAGGGAAAACGGAAUUCCACAUGUAGCGGUGAAAUGCGUAGAUAUGUGGAAGAACACCAGUGGUGAAGACGGUUUUCUGGGCUAUUGCUGACGCUGAGGCGCGAAAGCUAGGGGAGCAAAC
rnacentral:rRNA from 1 species